rnacentral:rRNA from 1 species
GAUGAACGCUGGCGGCGUGCCUAAUACAUGCAAGUCGAGCGAACGGACGAGAAGCUUGCUUCUCUGAUGUUAGCGGCGGACGGGUGAGUAACACGUGGAUAACCUACCUAUAAGACUGGGAUAACUUCGGGAAACCGGAGCUAAUACCGGAUAAUAUUUUGAACCGCAUGGUUCAAAAGUGAAAGACGGUCUUGCUGUCACUUAUAGAUGGAUCCGCGCUGCAUUAGCUAGUUGGUAAGGUAACGGCUUACCAAGGCAACGAUGCAUAGCCGACCUGAGAGGGUGAUCGGCCACACUGGAACUGAGACACGGUCCAGACUCCUACGGGAGGCAGCAGUAGGGAAUCUUCCGCAAUGGGCGAAAGCCUGACGGAGCAACGCCGCGUGAGUGAUGAAGGUCUUCGGAUCGUAAAACUCUGUUAUUAGGGAAGAACAUAUGUGUAAGUAACUGUGCACAUCUUGACGGUACCUAAUCAGAAAGCCAUGGCUAACUACGUGCCAGCAGCCGCGGUAAUACGUAGGUGGCAAGCGUUACCCGGAUUAUUGGGCGUAAAGCGCGCGUAGGCGGUUUUUUAGUCUGAUGUGAAAGCCCACGGCUCAACCGUGGAGGGUCAUUGGAAACUGGAAAACUUGAGUGCAGAAGAGGAAAGUGGAAUUCCAUGUGUAGCGGUGAAAUGCGCAGAGAUAUGGAGGAACACCAGUGGCGAAGGCGACUUUCUGGUCUGUAACUGACGCUGAUGUGCGAAAGCGUGGGGAUCAAACAGGAUUAGAUACCCUGGUAGUCCACGCCGUAAACGAUGAGUGCUAAGUGUUAGGGGGUUUCCGCCCCUUAGUGCUGCAGCUAACGCAUUAAGCACUCCGCCUGGGGAGUACGACCGCAAGGUUGAAACUCAAAGGAAUUGACGGGGACCCGCACAAGCGGUGGAGCAUGUGGUUUAAUUCGAAGCAACGCGAAGAACCUUACCAAAUCUUGACAUCCUUUGACAACUCUAGAGAUAGAGCUUUCCCCUUCGGGGGACAAAGUGACAGGUGGUGCAUGGUUGUCGUCAGCUCGUGUCGUGAGAUGUUGGGUUAAGUCCCGCAACGAGCGCAACCCUUAAGCUUAGUUGCCAUCAUUAAGUUGGGCACUCUAAGUUGACUGCCGGUGACAAACCGGAGGAAGGUGGGGAUGACGUCAAAUCAUCAUGCCCCUUAUGAUUUGGGCUACACACGUGCUACAAUGGACAAUACAAAGGGCAGCGAAACCGUGAGGUCAAGCAAAUCCCAUAAAGUUGUUCUCAGUUCGGAUUGUAGUCUGCAACUCGACUACAUGAAGCUGGAAUCGCUAGUAAUCGUAGAUCAGCAUGCUACGGUGAAUACGUUCCCGGGUCU